UAGAGUUUGAUCAUGGCUCAGAGCGAACGCUGGCGGCAGGCUUAACACAUGCAAGUCGAGCGGAUGUAGCAAUACAUCAGCGGCAGACGGGUGAGUAACGCGUGGGAACAUACCUUUUGGUUCGGAACAACCCAGGGAAACUUGGGCUAAUACCGGAUAAGCCCUUACGGGGAAAGAUUUAUCGCCGAAAGAUCGGCCCGCGUCUGAUUAGCUAGUUGGUGAGGUAACGGCUCACCAAGGCGACGAUCAGUAGCUGGUCUGAGAGGAUGAUCAGCCACAUUGGGACUGAGACACGGCCCAAACUCCUACGGGAGGCAGCAGUGGGGAAUAUUGGACAAUGGGCGCAAGCCUGAUCCAGCCAUGCCGCGUGAGUGAUGAAGGCCCUAGGGUUGAAAAGCUCUUUUGUGCGGGAAGAUAAUGACGGUACCGCAAGAAUAAGCCCCGGCUAACUUCGUGCCAGCAGCCGCGGUAAUGCCCA
rnacentral:rRNA from 1 species